GUCGCCACUGUCUAUUCUUUUACGUGUCCCAAAAAAGAGCAAGAGAUUCAUGCUUCUAUGUCCAGUAGGGAGGAUUACUGUAAUGGGCUCUUAACUGGACUACUGUAAUGGGCUCUUAACUGGUUUACUGUAAUGGUCUCUUACUGGUUUACUGUAAUGGUCUCUUAUUGGUUUACUGUAAUGGGCUCUUAACUGGUCCAGUAGGGUGGACUACUGUAAUGGUCUCUUAACUGGUUUACUGUAAUGGUCUCUUAUUGGUUUACUGUAAUGGUCUCUUAACUGGUUUAGUGGGGUGGACUACUGUAGUGGUCUCUUAACUGGUUUACUGUAAUGGGCUCUUAACUGGUUUACUGUAGUGGUCUCUUAACUGGUCCAGUAGGGUGGACUACUGUAAUGGUCUCUUACUGGUUUACUGUAAUGGGCUCUUAACUGGUUUACUGUAGUGGUCUCUUAACUGGUCCAGUAGGGUGGACUACUGUAAUGGUCUCUUACUGGUUUACUGUAAUGGGCUCUUAACUGGUUUACUGUAAUGGGCUCUUAACUGGUUUACUGUAGUGGUCUCUUAACUGGUCCAGUAGGGUGGACUACUGUAAUGGUCUCUUACUGGUUUACUGUAAUGGGCUCUUAACUGGUUUACUGUAAUGGUCUCUUAACUGGUUUACUGUAAUGGGCUCUUAACUGGUCCAGUAGGCUGGACUACUGUAAUGGUCUCUUAACUGGUCUAGUGGGGUGAGCUACUGUAGUGGUCUCUUCACUGGUCUUCCAAACAGCCUCAGUUCAUCCAAGAUGGCGCCGCUGGAGGGCAUAGAACAGAGCUCAUUACUCUCCAGGGCUAAAAUCUUUACAUUGGCUUCCACUUACUUACAGAAUCGAUUUUAAAGUGCUGCUAAAGUGCUGAUCUAUAAAUCACUCAAUGGUUUGGGCCCCAGAAUACAUCUCUGACAUGAUUAAAGAAUAUAAACCCAGUAGGGCUCUCAGAUCCAUGGACUCAGGUCAGCUAGUAGAGCCCAGAGUAAGGCUCUCAGAUCCAUGGACUCAGGUC
ensembl:lncRNA